UACGGGGGGGGCAAGCGUUGUUCGGAAUUACUGGGCGUAAAGGGCUCGUAGGUGGCCAACUAAGUCAGACGUGAAAUCCCUCGGCUUAACCGGGGAACUGCGUCUGAUACUGGAUGGCUUGAGUUUGGGAGAGGAAUGCGGAAUUCCAGGUGUAGCGGUGAAAUGCGUAGAUAUCUGGAGGAACACCGGUGGCGAAGGCGGUUCUCUGGGCCUGUGCUGACGCUGAGGAGCGAAAGCGUGGGGAGCGAACAGG
rnacentral:rRNA from 1 species